UACGUAGGUGGCGAGCGUUGUCCGGGUUUACUGGGCGUAAAGGGAGCGUAGGCGGACUUUUAAGUCUGAUGUGAAAGCCUUCGGCUUAACCGGAGUAGUGCAUUGGAAACUGGGAGACUUGAGAGCAGAAGAGGAGAGUGGAACUCCAUGUGUAGCGGUGAAAUGCGUAGAUAUAUGGAAGAACACCAGUGGCGAAAGCGGCUCUCUGGUCUGUAACUGACGCUGAGGUUCGAAAGCGUGGGUAGCAAACAGG
rnacentral:rRNA from 1 species